rnacentral:misc_RNA from 1 species
GGAAAAUGAUGGAAGUGGAAGGAGGGUAAGAGAGAUAGAGACUUGAGGGUGAGACAAAGAAGGAAAGAGAUGGAGAUGGGAGGAGGGUGAGAAAAUAAAUUGAUAUGGGGAGAUACAGAGAGAUACAUAUAAAAAGAAAUAGAGGAAUGGAGACGAGGAGAGAGAUAAAGAUAAGAGGGUGAGAGACACUAAGAUGAGAAGAGAGUGGCGUUUUGAGGUGAAGAGAAAAUGAGCAAGUGAAAGGAGAGGAAGGUGAAGGGGGGUGAAAGAGACGGAGAGAGAAGCAAAAGAGGAAUGGCGAGCGGGUAGUGAAGAAAGAGAGAUGAGAGAAUAUGGUAAGAGAUAUUAUUAAAUGGUAAAAGAGUACGUUUAGGCUUUUUAUUUUUAAUUUAUGCAACACCAGCAACAUAAUUAUAAAGAGGUCUGAU